CUGGUAGUUGAUGUGUCGGAGUCGAAGAAUGAGUUUUCUACUGGGAACCAGCACAGCCAGUCGUAUCCCAGUGUUCCCCGUGUCUUCCUGGGGUAGAACUGAAUGAGAGCAGAUGAGCAGAGGUGGUUAGCCACGCACGGGGCUCAGGACACUAGACACUGGGAAUCUCUGCCUGCCAUCGAACGCAGCAAGACCUGGAGGGGUUCAGCAUCUGGCAAAGCCAAUCCCAUGAUGCCUACAGAAAGAGCACAAAAGAGGAACCGUCACCUCCACAGCACCAGGGCUUUGUCUGAAAAGCAAGUCUGCACAUUCUGGGUGUGAGAAGGUGCCAAGGACCUGCAACAAAAGUGCAAAUUGCUGGGUUCAGCAGAAGAACCUUCUGGG
rnacentral:lncRNA from 1 species